UCCUGAUGGCUCACAUGAAGUUUCGUGCCGUUCCGACCUCGUUUGAUACGGUUAUGGUUAACCACACGGCCCCUCGGGCCCGACCCGAGCCCAGUCAACGUUUUGACCCGAUCAAAUCGGCCCGUGACCCGAAACGACCCUACUUGGGCCCUACAACAGCCACGUAAAGUUUCGGGAUGAUCCGACGUUCUUUCAUGGGGUUACGGACAAUCCACGCCAAACAAGCGUCACGGGCCGACCGAGCCGGGCCAACGGGCCCUCGGGACCCGAAAACUGAAUUUUUUUUCAUCCAAACCCAUUAAAACACGUUACCGAGGUCUCACGCAAAAUUUCAUGCCAAUCCGACGUCGUUUGAUGGGGUUUUGAGAUAUUAUGAUUCCUCAAAAAUUUAAUGUCUGUUCCUGUCACUUAGCUUUUUGUGCAAAAUGUAUAUAUAGGGGAUGGGUGGGUGUUGAGCAGCCCAUGCCCGGGCAAGGCAUGCCAGCGCCCAAGCCAAAGGAGGCUGGUGGCGUGCGUAUAACAGCUCAAAUGCCCCAACGAUGACCGAGAACAAGCGCCCAUCUCCCCUCCUUCCCCCCCACCAAGCGCCCCUCCCCCCCCAUGUUGCCUGCCCACUCGCACAGCUACUCGUGAUUUCAUGCCCAGCGACUAGUGAAUGUGCCUCGACGACCAGCAAACCUCGAAAAUUAUGAUUCCUCGUAAAAUUAAUGUCUGUUCCUGUCACUUUACUUUUUGUGCAAAAUGUAUAUAUAGGGGAGACCAGGGGCUUGAGCAACCCCUGUGCCCAAGCAAGGGUCAGAUGGAAGCACACGAGACGCGAGGUUUAAAGCCUAUACAAGCAAGGCGUCUGUCUCCCCAAGCCCCAUUGCCUAUAAAACAAGCCCGAUGCCUUGUAAAUGCCCCACACGAUGCCUAUAAACGACAACGAUGUUUGCUAGUUAAUCGAUCGACGCCCCACACCUUGCAGCAUGUUGCCUAGUAAACAAGCCAUGCUGCCUUGGAAGCGCCCCACAUCAUGGCAUGUUGCCUAGCACGCUGCCCUUGUUUCCAGCACGGCGACCUGAAAGCGUGGCCUGACGACGUGCUUGCCUUCGAAAAUUAUGAUUCCUCAAAAAAUUAAUGUCUGUUCCUGUCACUUUACUUUUUGU
rnacentral:rRNA from 1 species